CACCCAUCCACCCACCCACACACGGACUCAUUGUGACAUGUUGGUAAGCAACAGUUUUUUUUUUCAAGUCUUCAAAACACCCAAGAGUCAACAGAAGUUCUGUAUUCCGCAUCCGUUCACAAAGUCCAGGUGUUUUCCAUGUGUUUUUUCACAGUUGGUGGGAAGAUGACUCCAGUCUUUCAACAACAGAUUGGUACACAGUUCAUUUAUGUGAUCAAAGCAGAUGAUGGUAGGAUGUGCUUAAUUGGUAGCAAUAUUGAUGGCAGUAACUGUGAAAGGAAGGCUUUCAGUUAUUUUUUCCUUUGCAAAUUCCAGAAAUGUAAGCCCAUUCCUACCCAUACAAAGGGAUAUUACUGAAUCCAGCCAAUUUCCACUAAUUAAAAGCUAAUAUUAGUAACACUUUUGAUGCCCAAUUGAGUUUUAAUGAAAAUGAAAAAAAUUUGUUUGAACUCCCAGACCUCUUCAACCUGGCUCCAUCUUCUCUGUUCCUUUUCUUUUGCCUGAAUGUCCUGAUUGGGUUACUAAGUAAAGUCUAGAUACUUUGAAAGUAUGCGUAUGCUACAAUGAAUAAGCUUCCUUACAGCAAAUUGUGACUUCAGCUCUAAGGCAACUUGGAUAAAGAGAUCACAUUGACUUAAUCUGUUUCAUUCCCAUUUGACUCAAGGCUUAGCUGAUAGCCAUUUAGAUGAAAAUACAUUUUCAGAAACAUUUAGCGAAUUAAUACCAAUUUUGUGGAACUGCAUUAAAGUCCCAACUUAGAUUCCAGAUAGACAGGCUGGACCCUUUCCUUCACUCGGCCUCCUGUCCCACCCUCUGUGAGUGAAAGAAAAAUGGAAAGGGUCAAAGCACAGGCAUUUUUAAUCUUUUUCAAGUUCUUUCAAUUUGGUCUUUCGUUCCUCCAGUUUUCUGAUUGUUGUCAAUUUUAUUAUUCUUAAAUUUUAUGCAAGAAUGUUAAACAUUAAUGUUAUUUUCAUCCACUGGCAUUAUUUUACCAUAGCAAGCCACCUUGAGUAUAUUAUAGUAAGGAGAACAUUUCUAAAUUACUGUGAGCAUUAGCAUGUAAAAAGGUAAAAGGUUUAACGAACACAGGCAAAAUUGGUCAAUGUAUUUCAAAGCCUGCUGCAGCUCAAAAAUGGCUUGUUUGCCCCAGGAUAAUGCAAAGUAGCCUAAGAUUGUGGAACUUAGAUGGCUGUCAUCCCUCCUGACCAGUAGUGGUCACAGUCAUAGCUAAAAUGGCCUAGAAAAUUGAGUUUCUUAGCGUGGAGGGCUUCUGUAACUUUAGGGUCAGGCUUGCUACAAAGCCCAGCUUCCCACUCAUUGCAGUGGCCGGAGAAGACAUGAGGAUGAGGACUCACAUUGCAUAUUACUUGGGGACUAAGGACUAAGUCGUGCCACUACCCAGAAAAGAGACCCCCCCCCCCCAUCCAGCACUUCCCUAUGUCUAUGUUUCCUUUUUCCAUGUCUCAGGAGCCAAGUGAAGGCCUAAGAGACAUGCAAAUCCUUGUAGAACAGGCGAACCAAUAAAGCAAAUGAAUGAAUAAUAACCUUCCUGUAUUCAACCUCUGAGGCAAACUGUGGGAAAUGAGGAAAGUGUUCUUCAGUCUAGAAAACGUUUGAGCUAAUAUUUCUGUUUAAUAAAGAGCAUCCCUCUGCUUUCCGGGGCAUCUGUAAGUCACACUGAGUGCCCUUUUGGAACAAAUGUGUUGCACUUAGCAUCCAGUAGCAUCUUCUGCAAUGUGUGGAACCGAGGAAAUAGAGAACCUCUUUUAUUAUUUCCACUCUACCAAGCAUGCCCAUGAGGAGGGGAGCAACUUUUUAUUUAACUUGCCUCCUCUACACCUUGAUGUUUUUCCCAGCUAAAGUGAGAGCUGUAGUCUCAAGGUGUGACUGCAGUCCCCUCAGAAACUACUGAGGUAAAGUACACUUUGGGUUGCAUCCUUUAAAUGUCUUUGUUCUUUUCAGUACUUAGAAAUUUUAGUACUUAGAACUGCACUUUCAUCACACUUAAGUUAAAAGUAUGAGUGUGAUAGUAUAUUCUUCUUGCUCACAUGACGCUGAGCCAGGCAAUGAACAAAUACGUUUAGAAUUAUCGAUUCAUCUUGAUUCUCCUUUGAAACACUUCAACAGUAAGAAAAGGAAAAUGGGUAAUGAAUUAAAGGACAGACUUUAAGUCUGUCCUGGCUUCAAGCUAGGCCAAUGAGAAAAUGACUUUUGGAGCUUCCUUAGCUAGGAAGUCUCCAGUUUAUGUUGAAGGAAUCUUGGCCUUGGUUGGGUUUCGCAAACAGCCAUUAUAGUUAAAAUAUUUACUCAGAAGGCUGGAGAGAUGACUCAGUGGUUAAGAGUCUGACUGCUCUUCCGAAGGUCCUGAGUUCAAAUCCCAACAACCACAUGGGGGCUCACAACCAUCUGUAAUGUGAUGUGGUGCCCUCUUCUGGUGUGUCUGAAGACAGCAACAGCGUACUCAUAUACAUAAAAUAUAUAAUUCUUUAAAAAUAUUAUUCACUCAGUAAUCAGAUAUAUUCUUCAGGCUGGGCAUGGGUUAAGCACAUCUGUAAUCUCAGCACUUGAGAAGCUGUGACAGUCACCAAUUAGAACCAGCCUGGGCUUUAUGAGACCAUGUCUCCUAUGAUCAGUGAUCUACACUAGGUCCACCUCACAUUUUAGUUUUAGGACCUAGGUUAGCAUAUUUUAUAUACAAUGUUUCAUUAGGUGUUGUGUUCUGCAUGCUUGGUCCCUCCAGCCAGUACAUCUAGUUCGAGAGGUUCUGGGCCACACUGAGUACAUGCCAUCAGAUGCUCUGGCCUCUUCCCGUUUUGUUCCCUGAUACCCAUGCUCUGGGAUUAUCUCACUCUGGCCCUAUAAAACUCCUUUACUGGCAAGGUGUUUGUAAUUCAUCUCUGGCAGCAGCAUUCAACAAACAUUUAAGAAACUGGAUGGAAAAAGUUCCUGUCAUUAAUAAAACCUUUUCCACCUCCUCAGUCAAGCCAGCUGGGAAGUAUCCUAGACAGCAUAGUCCACUCAGUGUAACAUUUAGCACACUGCCUUGCACAAAUCCAUUUUUUUUUUCUGUUUUCAUUUCCUCAUUGAAGUGAAUUGAAGUUUUGGUCUAGAUUUCACUCCUAUAAGUGCUACAUAAUGCUAGAAAGCAAUCUAUGUGUUCGCUCAACACAUAGCAUGGUAAAAUUAUUAUUAGGUGGUGUUAGGUGAUAAGCAUUAUGAUUAAGUUUCAGCCAUUAUGAAACUUAGAAAGUAAUCACUGUUCACUGAUAAAGCCAACAGUUAGGUCCCGGCUUUAUAGAACUGUAGACUUCACAAAGCUCCACACAGAUCUGUUGUGCAUGCCUGGGAUAAAAGCAAAGUCAUUGCACACCAGGCAAAUAUUGCAUAUAUACACAUAUAUAUGGCAGUUUACAAAUUAUAAAUUAAUCUCAUGCAUAAUUUCUUUAGAUACACAGGACAAUGAGAAUGCUCUUUGCAUCCCAGUGCCUAGCAAGGGCACUGUUUUGUAAUAAAUGACUGCCAUUCAGUAUGUACUCAUCAAGUAUUGAAUGCUUCAUAUAUUCAGUGGUUCACAGUUACUUAUUUACUUUAUUUUCACAGUAUAAUAAAUGUGGCAGAAUUUUAAAAGCCUGGAAAUUGAUACCAAGUAAGAAAAUGAAUUGUUACAUUUAUAUGGUACCUCCGAGUUCAUAAAAUGCCAACGUACAUAUUAUUCUCAAGUGUGGACACACUGAAAUGUACGUCUGUGUAUCUCUCCAGUACCCAUGAAAGAGAAUAUACACAUGGGAGACAAUAUUUAGCCUCCAGGUUUGAGAUUGACCUUAUGGUCUUCCCAGGCUAGCCUCCAAUUUCUGGGCUCAAGUGGUCCUGUUGCUUCAGCUCAGAGCACAUGCUACCACACCCAGCUUGUUAACUGUACUCUUCCCAUUAUGGGCUAAAAAGUACAAUGAAAAUUUUGUAGAGACUAUGCCUAUUUUAUAGGCAGCUUUAUUUCUAUAGAAAAUUUGUCUUGUCUUAUACUACUGAACUGCUUUAUAGUUAAGAAAGUACCCACAACCAUAAUGUGACCUGGGCAAAUGUUCUUGUAUUAACAUGCCCUUAUCACUCAAGUUUUGACUGAUUAAAUUAAGCAUUGGCUCAUUCCUUAUGAAUAGUAUGGAAUGCAAACAUUCUUAUUUCAUGGCAGUUACUCAUGAAUAUUUCAUGUACCCAAAACAAUAUCGGAUACAUCAGAGGUAGUUAGUAGUCAUUCAUUUGCACACAUGGAACAAUUGAUAGCUGUAUAAUGCUUUAUUUAAUGCAUUCUUUUGUAAAUUCUAGUUCUGUGGUAAUGUCCCCCUUUGUUAUUCCCAGUGCUGAACAUGGGUAUUCAGAAAUUAGAAGGUGAUCAGAAUAGGGUAAUCAAUCACCUGCAUUAGUGACCUAGUUUGUAGUUUAAAAUCAGUUUCCAUGUGUUUUCUCUUCUGCUACCUGGUAUAAUAUAACUUACUGAGCCUCACCAAAGCAGAAGAAACACACUGGCCUUAAGUAUAUGGACUGUUAUUCAUUCAAGCCCCGUUAUGUUCAUAUAUUUGUUUUUACAAAGCAUGUUAUUCCUAGAGCAAUCUUUGUGCCUAUAGCACACAGAGGCGUAGACUUCAGCUACUAUGUAAUACAUACUCAGCACUGACUUGGAAGUUACAGUAGGCUUCAUGGUUUACGUAUUCAUACGUUUCCUGGUUACCUGGUAAUAUCUUGUUACCUGGGGGUGACCACAGUGAAGCAUCACAGCCUUAGUAUUCAGCACAAAAAAUAUGCAGGGAAGGAAAUUAAUGUUACUCAGACAUUCCCUGGCAUUCAUAUCAGGGCUUGAUCAAGUACAGGCAAUAGACCAGUGUGCCUUUUUCUUACCUUUUGAAAAGGAUUUGCAACUAAGGAAUAUGCAACUAAGACCAUGAACCCACAAAGCUUCAGGUACUUAGUCUGAUGCCUUAUAGGAAAAGCUCUACACUUUCAGAUAAUAACCAUGUAUAAUUGCCAAUGUGCUAUGAGCAUGUUACUUUUUCAUCCUGUGUCAUUUAACUUCCCUCUUACAGAGGAAGAGGAAGGCACGAAAAAGAUUAAGCCCGUUAAGUAGUCCUUAGAGUCUCUCAUCAUUAAUUUUAAAGGUAGGUAUUAGACCCAGGAGUUCCUUUGGUGAAAUGCACCAAAUUACUCGGCCACUACUAUGAGCAGGGAGUUCAGACCUCAUUUUGUCCCCAAACCAUUAUUAGAAAACCAUACCCUGCUCACCUAAGCCCAAAGAAAGAAGGUGACACUGGCUGGUGCUUCUCAGAGGGUUGGCACAUCUGCAUAUUGCUUGUCUAAUUCUUCUCAUUGGUCUGGAACAACUCUUUAUAUUUUCUCUAGAUAGCCUGACAUUGUUUUCCCCCUAACAACCUGAUGCUUUCCUUUUCUUGUCAGCCUAGGGCUUCUGAGGUAGGGAGGAUGGCAGUAUGCAUAUCUGUAUGCAUGCUUAUUCCUAGGGAAGUUUCAAUAGUCAGGCUAUAUACACUGGCUGGAUUUAGUUCCGUCUCAAGUGGAGCAGAUGUGAAGAGAAAUGGAAGUUGUAAAACAUCAACAAUUUAACAAAUGGCUAAGACCCAGUUUAAAACAGACCCUUGCACAAUACUAUCCAGCUAAAAACGUAUUCCUUUAUGGGCAAUGGCAACAAUGAAAAAUUACAUCUCAAGUGAAGACAGCUUAAAUAGAAAUAUAAGAAAUGGAAAGGGAUGCUGGGGUUGGGGGGCAGGUCUCAUCUUCGAAUUUCCCUUCUUGGUCUUGGGGAUAGAAGGAUAGAAAUAUCCUUCCAGAGUUCUGGGCCAUAGGCCUUUAUCUCUUAAAUAUUCUGUCCAUAUAGGAUUGGGUCCUUAGGUCUUAUGCUUGGACUUAGCUCAGGUUUUGUGUCUUAUGACAUACGUAGUUCCCCGCUCUUGGAAGUCACAGGUGUCCUGUAGAAACAGUUCCUCUUCUUUGGGUUGUCAGCAUUCUGUCCAGCCAGCUCAAGACGGGCCAUCUGUGUAUUUUGGUCCUUUUAAAUCUCAAGUCGCAAAACUUCUGUCUUCUACUUGGGCGUUCACUUCAGAGCCACUUGAAUCCUGACCGGACGGAAUGAUGUAUUUUGUCUUAGAUUAUUUCUCAGGGCAGUCUGGUGUGAGGAACGGCUCCACGGGUGACAUUCUGGACCUAUUGGGAAGGGGCUAUGAAGCUCCUCUCACACAUGACACACAUAACACACAUGCACACACGCACAUGUACAUACAAAGAAACAUCCAAGAAAGGAUUACUUUAGAAUACAAGAGAGACACAGACUUGUAAAGAGAUGAAAUGCUCAAAGUGAACAGAAAGGAGGAAAGUAGAAGAUAGAAACACAAGCAAACACAAAGCAACAGAAUGAUGCUGAGAUAAGAAAUCCACCAAUAGCAAAGAGACACAAAUACAAAAGAAAACAGAGAAAGUGGCCCAAGAAAGGCAGGGAAGAAAUGUAAACAAGAAUUCACUAAGGAUAGAAGCAGCAGAAAGAAAACUGAAAUGGACUGACAAAGAGAACUUGAACAAAGAACAAGUGGGGUGAGCACAAGAAAAAGAGAGGGAUGCAUGCAACAUGUGACCCAAAGGGGAGUCACGAAAGGCAGGAGUGAAAGAAAAGCUAAGAGAAAUAGCAACCAGAUAGAUAAAACAGAGAGCCAUAGCUAGUGAAGACAAAGCAGACCACACAGGCACCAGAGAAAGUGAAACAAAGCUCAAAGCUCUGCAAGAAAGAACAUGCAGGAGAAACAUGGGAAUAGGUAAGACACACUGCAGACAGAAAAGACACACAAAGGAAAGAAGGAGACAUGCAAAGGAAGGAAGAAAUAGAUGUAACAAAGAAUUAGACACACAAGGAAGAAGUAGAUACACAAAACAAGGAAGACAUAGACACACAAAGCAAGGAAGACAUAGACACACAAAGCAAGGAAGAAAUAGACACACAAAGCAAGGAAGAAAUAGAUGCAACAACGAAUUAGACAACACAAGGAGACAUAGACACACAAAGCAAUGAAGAAAUAUAUAUACCAAAGAAUUAGACACAAUGCAAGGAAGAAAUAGACACACAAAAGCAAGGAAGAAAUAGAUGUAACAAAGAAUUAGACACAACUGCAAGGAAGAAAUAGACACACAAAAGCAAGAAAGAAAGACACACAAAAGCAAGGAAGAAAUAGAUGUAACAAAGAAUUAGACACAACUGCAAGGAAGAAAUAGACACAAAGCAAGGAAGACAGACACACAAAGCAAGGAAGAAAUAGAUAUAACAAAGAAUUAGACACAAAAGCAAGGAAGAAAUAGAUAUAACAAAGAAUUAGACAUAAUGCAAGGAAGAAAUAGACACACAAAGCAAGGAAGAAAUAGACACACAAAGCAAGGAAGAAAUAGAUGUAACAAAGAAUUAGACACACAGACCAAGGAAAAAAUAGAUACAUAAAACAAGAAAUAGACACACCCACAAUACACACUA
rnacentral:lncRNA from 1 species